rnacentral:rRNA from 1 species
UGCGUAGGCGGUCAGGCAAGUCAGAUGUGAAAUCCCCGGGCUUAACUCGGGUGGUGCAUUUGAAACUGCUUGACUUGAGUGCAGGAGAGGAAAGCGGAAUUCCUAGUGUAGGGGUAAAAUCCUUAGAUAUUGGCAGGAACGCCGGUGACGAAGGUGGUUUUCUGGGCCGGUUCUGACACUGAUGCUCGAAAGCCAGGGGAGCGAACGG